rnacentral:rRNA from 1 species
GUGCACCAGGCGCGAAAACUUCACAAUGUGCGAAAGCACGAUGAGGGAAUCCCAAGUGCUUGCACGUAAGUGUAAGCUGUUUCUCUGUCUAAAACGCAGAGAGAGUAAGGGCUGGGUAAGACGGGUGCCAGCCGCCGCGGUAAUACCUGCAGCUCGAGUGGUGACCGUUAUUAUUGGGCCUAAAACGUCCGUAGCCGGUUUAAUAAAUGCCUGGGUAAAUCGGACCGCUUAACGGUUCGAAUUCCGGGUAGACUGUUAAACUUGAGACCGGGAGAAGUUAGAGGUACUCCUGGGGUAGAGGUGAAAUUCUGUAAUCCUAGGGGACCACCAGUGGCGAAGGCGUCUAACUAGAACGGGUCUGACGGUGAGGGACGAAGCCCUGGGGCGC